rnacentral:rRNA from 1 species
GUGGGGAAUCUUGCGCAAUGGGCGAAAGCCUGACGCAGCCAUGCCGCGUGAAUGAUGAAGGUCUUAGGAUUGUAAAAUUCUUUCACCGGGGACGAUAAUGACGGUACCCGGAGAAGAAGCCCCGGCUAACUUCGUGCCAGCAGCCGCGGUAAUACGAAGGGGGCUAGCGUUGCUCGGAUUUACUGGGCGUAAAGGGCGCGUAGGCGGACAUUUAAGUCAGGGGUGAAAUCCCGGGGCUCAACCUCGGAACUGCCUUUGAUACUGGGUGUCUUGAGUAUGAGAGAGGUGUGUGGAACUCCGAGUGUAGAGGUGAAAUUCGUAGAUAUUCGGAAGAACACCAGUGGCGAAGGCGACACACUGGCUCAUUACUGACGCUGAGGCGCGAAAGCGUGGGGAGCAAACAGGAUUAGAAACCCGUGUAGUCC